UAUAAAUCUUUCGCCUUUUACUAAAGAUUUCCGUGGAGAGAAACAAACACGAGUGUCGAGGAAUUUUUUGAGGCUCCAUUUCAGUGGAGCU
rnacentral:snRNA from 1 species